rnacentral:rRNA from 1 species
CAGCCGUAAACUAUGCUCGCUAGGUGUCAGGCAUGGCGCGACCGUGUCUGGUGCCGCAGGGAAGCCGUGAAGCGAGCCACCUGGGAAGUACGGCCGCAAGGCUGAAACUUAAAGGAAUUGGCGGGGGAGCACAACAACGGGUGGAGCCUGCGGUUUGAUUGGACUCAACGCCGGACAACUCACCGGGGACGACAGCAAUAUGUAGGCCAGGCUGAAGACCUUGCCUGAAUCGCUGAGAGGAGGUGCAUGGCGUAGACGUCU